CAGGUGUCUUUGGAACACAACACUAGAGAGCUGACACUUGUGUCUUUGGAACACAACACUAGAAAGGCGACACAGGUGUCUUUGGAACACUACACUAGAGAGGUGACACUGGUGUCUUUGGAACACAACACUAGAGAGGUGACACCGGCGUCUUUGGAACACAAAACUAGAGUGGUGACACUGAUGUCUUUGGAGCACAACACUAGAGAGGUGAUACUGGGAUGUUUGGCACACAACACAAGAGGUGAUACUGGUGUCUUUGGAACACAACACAAGACCUGACACUGGUGUCUUUGGAACACAACA